AACGAACGCUGGCGGCGCGCCUAACACAUGCAAGUCGCACGAGAGGCUCUUCGGAGUAGUAAAGUGGCGCACGGGUGAGUAAUACAUGGGUAAUCUGCCUUUGAGAGGGGAAUAACUGGCCGAAAGGCCUGCUAAUACCCUAUACGCUUCCGGUCCCUCGGGUAAGGAAGGAAAGCUCCAUCGUGGAUGUGGCGCUCGAAGAUGGGCUCAUGGCCUAUCAGCUUGUUGGUAGGGUAACGGCCUACCAAGGCAACGACGGGUAGCUGGUCUGAGAGGACGAUCAGCCACACUGGCACUGAGAUACGGGCCAG
rnacentral:rRNA from 1 species